rnacentral:snRNA from 1 species
GUGCUCACUUCGGCAGCACAUAUACUAAAAUUGGAAUGAUACAGAGAAGAUUAGCAUGGCCCCUCUGCAAGGAUGACAUGCAAAUUCGUGAAGCAUUCCAUAUUUUU